rnacentral:lncRNA from 1 species
UGAAAAUGAAGUAGUUGGGUCCAACGCCCCUAAGACAACACGCCUUAAUGUGAUUAAACGCGUAACUAAAAUUAAUCACCAUCCCUAGACCGAGAUUCAACACAAGGCUCGUGUUGAAUCUAAACAAAGGUUCAUAAUCAUCCUUAGGCCCUAAGGCAACUAUAUAUAGUCCAUCAAAUGAAUGCAAAGUUUAUGUUAGUAGUAUCAUAUACUCUUGCUUUAAAAAAAUCGUUUUAAAAGCAUAGUGGGAGUAUUAUGUACAACUAAAACAAUGAGAUGGACCAAUAGUUGUAAUAGGACCAAAAUUGUUUUAAUAGAGAUUAAAAUGUAUAUUUAUAUGUGAUGAGACCUAAAACCCUCAACCAAACCAAUAUUAAGUUGAUAAACGGAGAGUGCUUUGAACACUCUUUCGUGGCCUUCCACCGUGGUAGGCUCCGAUCGUUUGUGACUCGUACA